GACGAACGCUGGCGGCGUGGAUUAGGCAUGCAAGUCGGACGGUAGGGCUUUAUCGUAAGAUAGAGUUUGAGAGUGGCGAACGGGUGAGUAACACGUAGGAAUCUACCCUUAAGACGGGGACAACCCAGGGAAACUUGGGCUAAUACCGGAUGAGAGUGCGAGAGAUUGCAUUUAAAAGGAUGGCGAAAGUUGUCGCUUAGGGAUGAGCCUGCGGUCUAUUAGUUAGUUGGUGAGGUAAGAGCUUCACCAAGGCGAUGAUAGAUAGGCGGCCUUAACGGGUGGUCGCCCACACUGGGAUUGAGAUACGGCCCAGACUCCUACGGGAGGCAGCAGUCGAGAAUAGUCUACAAUGGCCGGAAGGCUGAUAGUGCGACGCCGCGUGAGCGAAGAAGGCCUUCGGGUGUAAAGCUCUGUUGUAAGGGACGAAUGUCGCGAUCAAUAAUACGGAUUGCGAAUGACGGUACCUUACCAGCAAGCCCCGGUAACUACGUGCCAGCAGCCGGGUAAA
rnacentral:rRNA from 1 species